AACAAAAGGGAAUAAGAAGCAACACAUCAUGAUAUUUCCUCUGUCAGCACCAGGUCUCCAUCUAAGGAUAACAGGCUGAGAAAAAGCAUAAUAACCUUCUGUUGCUUGAGACACAGAGACUGGUACACUCUGCAACACUGCACCUACACUCAACAGGGAGGGAUUGCAAAUUGAGAAGAGAUGAAUGACUUCAUGAAGAAAUUUCUAAAACAAUAAUAAUAUAACAUUUUAUAUUUUAUUAAUUCAUUUAUUUAUUUGCAUUGAAGCAAUUCUGCCUCUCUGUCCCCCUCACUAAGUCCCUACCCCAUCACCCUUCUCUCUGAGAGGGUGGGGCCCCACCUGAGUA